GCACUGCUGAGGAGUCCCACAAUAGGACGAAACGGCCGUCCAGCGU
rfam:Schistosoma rodhaini strain Burundi genome assembly, scaffold: SROB_scaffold0006410